UGCCGAGCUUGGGUGCAGGAGAGGAGGGUGGAACUCACAGAGUAGCGGUGGAAUGCGUAGAUACUGUGAGGUACCCCGAUGGCGAAGGCAACCCUCUGGCCUGCUACCGACGCUGAAGCGCGAAAGCGUGAGGAGCAAAGAGGAUUAGAUACCCCCGUAGUCCACGCCCUAAACAAUGUUCACUUGGUGUCGGCCGCUUAUACUGGUCGGUGCCGAAGCUAACGCGUUAAGUGAACCGCCUGAGGAGUACGGCCGCAAGGCUAAAACUCAAGAGAAUUGACGGGUCCCUGCACAAGCGGUGGAGCACGUGGUUUAAUUCGAUGAUAAACGAAGAACCUCACCCAGGCUUGACAUACUAGUGGUAGGAACCUGAAAGGGGGACGACUCUGCCUUCGGGUAGAGAGCUAGUACAGGUGAUGCAUGGCUGUCGUCAGCUCGUGUCGUGGGAUGUUGGGUUCAGUCCCGAAACGAGCGCAACCCUUGUCGUUAGUUGCCAGCGGGUAAUGCCGGGGACUCUAACGAGACUGCUGGUGAAUAGCCGGAGGAAGGCGGGGAUGACGUCAAGUCAUCAUGUCCCUUACGCCUGGGGCGACACACAUGCUACAAUGGGGGGUACAGAGGGUCGCAAUCCCGCAAGGGGGAGCCAAUCCAUAAAAACCCCUCCCAGUUCGGAUUGAGGUUUGCAACUCGACCUCAUGAAGCCGGAAUCGCUAGUAAUCGCGGGUCAGCCAUACCGCGGUGAAUAUGUACUCAGGGAUUGUACACACCGCCCGU
rnacentral:rRNA from 1 species